rnacentral:rRNA from 1 species
GACGUAGGGCGCGAGCGUUGUCCGGAUUUAUUGGGCGUAAAGAGCUCGUAGGCGGCUUGUCGCGUCGUCCGUGAAAACCUGCAGCUCAACUGCAGGCUUGCGGUCGAUACGGGCAGGCUAGAGUUCGGUAGGGGAGACUGGAAUUCCUGGUGUAGCGGUGAAAUGCGCAGAUAUCAGGAGGAACACCGGUGGCGAAGGCAGCCCCCUGGGCUGAGAUUGACGCUCAGGCACGAAAGCGUGGGGAGCAAACAGG